UACAGUUAAUGACAAUAAUUAUGGAAUGUUGAAUCAUAAUAAGGAUUCGUUGACUUUUGUUUUCCAUGCUUGUCUAAACAUCACUCAAUGGGCGUUCCAUAACUUGUACAAUCAUUGUGGUUGGCCAGUAAUCUUGUGUUGUAUUUGAGAUCGGUAUUACGUCGGUGUACGUGUCAUCAUGUGGGCAGUUUGUUGUUUUUAAUAAAUGGGCCAAAGUUCGGUAUGUAAUGCCAGGAUAGCUCCUUUUACAGCCAAGUGACUGAGCGAUACGAAACAAAGAAGAUUGCGUUUAAGGAAUUGUGAUGGGAAACACAAACACCAAAGAGACAGUGUUUAAGAGUGGCUGGUUUAAAAGACCUACGUAUCGGUAAAUUAGAUUUUAAUUCUGCAAUGAGGAUGUUACUUGUUACUACUUGUUCAUUCUAUAAUACUUUUCCUUAUGAUUACAAAGCAAUAACUGUCUUCCACUCUAUGUAACAGUCCCUCCAAAAACAGCGCAGCACACCCAAACCAAAACCAAUUAUUCUGGCUUGGUUACACACCUUUAUAAUGAUAUAAAUUAAAUUUUUCUAAGCUCAAAAGUCAAAUUCAAGAUAUUUAUU